GUGAAUGCGCCCAAUAUCGCUGUAUUCUUGGCUAUUAAUUCUAAAUCAGGACUUGUUAAAUUCUGUUUUAGAUAAAUAUAUAUUGAAACAAUUGAAAGUUUGAAUUUCUACUGCUACUGCUGGAAUAUUAGAUGUUAUAAUUAUGAAUUUGUGUGGAAUAGAUGUGGUGCAUGGCAUGCUUAUUGUUUACGAGGAUGAAAGAUGGUGCUUGUGGGAAUGUGGGUUUCUUGUAGUGCUAUAAUAGAAGGUUUGUGUUCGUUUAUCAAAAGCUGAAGUUCAUGGUGGUUAUUAAAAUGUCCGUCCAUGUUCCAUUGAAGAAUUUUUAAGGUUGAUGGUUUUGAACGAGGAGUGAAUGGGUAUGGUUGUCGAGAUAUUAUUUGACUCCGCUUCCCGAAUGUCGAAGCAUUCAGGCUCCCAAGUGAAACUGAAGGAUUCAACACACGAGCAGCAGUCUCUGACUUUAGAGCCUAAAGUUUGAUUACUGAUCAUCAUCAUCCAUUACGUUUACAUAGUAACUAUUUUCUUUAAGAAGUGUUUUUGUAAGAUGUGAUAAUGGAGAAUCUGAUGCCCAAGAAUUUCUGUUUGGGUGUGAAUCUUGUUUUUGAGGUAGAUUUCGUGUUUCUGUGUUAUUUGGUGUCAUUGUUGUUCGGGUAAUUUUUGCGGGUUUGUUAGAGAAAUUAUAUACUUGUUCGGGUUGGUUAUUUGUUGUCUGUAUAGUUAGUGUGGGGUUGUUGUUUAGUUUAGCUAUGGUAUUGUUAUCUUGUGGAAGGGAAUUUUCUGUUUGAAUUUAAUUUAAACGUAUUGAGAUAGAAGGUUGGUAUGAUUUUGAAGUUGAUGGCUGGGUUUCAGGAUGAUUAUUUUGUUUUUUUGGGGGUUGUUCUCUUUGAAUUUUGUUUUUGAUAAUCUCUGCCAUAGAUGGGUUGGUAUCGAUUUUUUUAGUUGGGUGGAAGGUGAUGCUGUGCGGGGUCGUCUCUGUAGAUCUCCCAGGCUUCUCGGAGGGUGCAGCGGCGGUCGGAUUUUAUUUUGUUGACCGAUUAAUGGCGAAGAAAGGUUGGACAUGAGGCAUCAUAAGAUGUAUGACUGUCUUCCUGACAGUUAUGCAAUAAAUGCGUGAACAUUCAUGGUGUGGUGGGGGAAGGCAGCAUUCUUUGCAAAGUUCGACACUUGUGCAGCGAUUUCUUGUGUCCUAAUUUUUUACAAAUAAUGCAUCUCAUUGGGUUUGUGAUAUAUUAUUCGACUACAACCAAGCCUUCCUAGUUAGAUUUCAUUGGGACGUCUUAUUAAGUCGAAGGUAAGGAUUGCUGCGCCCGUUGGAGUCAAUUCAUUAUUAAUUUUUGUAAACAUUUUUUUUAUUUGGAUAAUUUUUUGUGGUUCCAGUUCACUUAGAAGUUCUUAUUCGGAAAUGUCUCUGAUAUGGGGAGAGAAGAUUUUUCCUUGCACUAAGUUUAAAUUAUUGUGUGGUGUGAUUUUAACCGGAAUAGAUGUAGUUUUGCUUCAUGAAUUUAUUUGCAAUUUGUAAGUUCGCAACUUUCACUAAGAGAUCACCGGACCGCAUGGAUUUAACCUCUAAGAUUUCUUUAGAUAUAUGUUCGAAGCCACGAUUAAUUUGGAAUAAGUUGUACGAUGAAAGUGGUCGCAAUUUUUCUGUUUGGUCGUCUUUUCCGUUUACAAUUUUUUCCAAACCAGAAAUAACAAUAUAGCGAGGAAUGUUAUCGUCGUUUGAGGGAAUUGUUAGCAGUAGUGGGUAGUGAGGUUGGUUUAAUUUGCGUUUCAUUUUGGUGCGUGGGUUCAAGGGAGCAUCGGAAUCGAGCCCCUUAUAAACCUAUUUCUACUGGGAUCCCCCUGCAUUUUGGUUUUAAAUUUUAGAUACCAGAAAGAAAUUGAAUUUUCAGACCGCGUGGCGGCGAAAAAUUUGGAUCAAAAACAAAGCUAUAAGGUAAGGUUUUGGCUCUCAGAACACGUCUAUACUCGGCGUUUGCCAGAUAGCUACUGGGUUGCCAGCACGUAACUUGAUACAUCCUAGUUUAGUCGAUACAAUCGGCAUUGGUAGCAUACAUUUUGGUUCAAUCGAAUGUCCUCGAUUGUUUCGCAAGAUUUGGCAGCACACAAACUUCAAAUUGACGUUUGAAACAAAAAUUUUCACUCGACAGAAAUUAGCUAUCGUCGGCAGUGAUUUUUGUAUGAGAAAAACUGAAAAACAAAAUAAUUAUGUCAAUAAAUAAAACACAGGCUGAGAUUUUAAUCAAUUUUAUGAGUUCUCACGUUGAUAUAGCGAGGAGAGUUCUUGAAACUACAAGGGAGUAAUUCUGUGGGGAAAACUGAUUGAAUCCCUAAAGCUGUAUAACUAGUGGAACUGAUGUUCUUCUUCUGGAAGGCUUUAUGAAAAGUCUUCGAGAAAAACUUGAAAUUGCCCAAGGAUUUUCAAAAAUCCCUAAGAAGUAAGUGAAUUCGUUUUGGGAGGCAGUCAAAAUAGAGUUAAAUAGUUAAAGACCCACCUUCUAAGGACACCUCUAGCUGGAAAAAAUGUGGUUAGAUUGAAAGGCAUAAAUCAAGAGGAAAAUGGUUAAGAACAAAAAGGAAUGCAAAGCUACAGGUGGCGGAGCAAAUAGAAUGCAUUUUUUUAGCAGCCUCGAAGAAGGUGUCAUAAGAAUGAAUGAACUUUGACCUGCGGAAUAAAAGAUCCACAAUUUUUUUUAUUCGAAAAUUCCUCCGAGCCUUAAGAAUCAAAUGAACCUUGUGAAGAGAACUAACUUGCCGAUGUUUCGAUGUCAUCAGACGUAGUUGAUGUGAGAAAUGUUCCACGGCGUCUUCCAACCACUUCGCGUCAAUCAUAUGAUUCAUCCAGUCUUCGUGUAUUUUCUUCAUUUAUUGCAAAGAUUGCAACGACAAUACUAUCAAUUUUUAAAGACAAAAACAAAUAAAAACAAGAACAAAUCGAAAGAUGAAAAACGAACUUUUAUUUAAUUUUCUUAUUUUGACGCAUAUCAGCUGAUUUUAAAACUCCGAAAUUAGUAUUUCUGUGUGCCAAUGCUUUCUUGAAUUCGUUUGGGGCUUAUGAUGUAAAUGUAUUCGUAUUCGUAGCGUAACACAAUUUUCGGGGACUUCGCUACGAGGGACUCUGUGAUAGGGGUGAUUAUCUCCAAAAUAUUCUUUCGAUUUUAGCACAGGACACUUCUUGGCCUUCACUUUCACUUUUCGAAUCAAAGAAAAACAUUUCGACAAAACUUAAAAUUGAAACUAGAAUGAAAUGAUUUUAAAGAAAACUCAUUUGACAUUUGAUUUUAUACUAGUUCACAAUGACUUUUUUAAGUAAAAGUCACAAUAGAACUCGUCUCAAAUUACGUGCUAUCAAAAAUAAUUUGUUUCGAGUUUCGAUCGUCGAUCAGACAAUCCUCGGUUGUAUCAAGUUACGUGCUGUUUUGUAUUUUUCUUCUUUAUUUGGAUAAAUUUUGUUUGUUUUUUUUUUUUUCAAAUAAAUCAAGAGUGCAUUCUUAAAAUUUUCGUUGAUUUUAAAAAGAAUACAAAUUUAGUUUUAUUUAAUGAAUAUUUGAAUUUAUUUAGUUUUUUUCUCAAAAAUAAUAAAUGUUUAGGAGAGCUUUUGUUUGUAUCUUUUAACUGUUUUUAUUUUAACGUGUUUAUUUGUUUUACAUGACGGAUCGAUCUUACAAACUGGAACGCAUCACAUAGCAUAUUUCCUAGUCCAUUCUCGAGCUAGCUCAUUAUAUUUUUCUC